rnacentral:lncRNA from 1 species
AAUUGUUCAAGAUUUGUUAGAUGUGAGAUUUCUUAGUUGCAGCUUUUUAAUUCGGUUUGUUCUUUUGAAAAAGGCUAUUUAAGCCAUCUCUUCAUACCGACGCAAUUUAGUUUCUUGCUGGAUUCCGGUAUCGGAAGAGCCUUACAAAAACAAUAGCAGUAGAGAAAAAACCAGCCAAUCAAAGCGCUUUAAUGGUCAUCACGAUCACCGGAGCAUGAUAAUGAAGAGUAAUCAAGUCUGAUGACGAUUGGUAUUUUGAACCACUAGAGAAUGGGAUCUUGAAUGAUGCACAAACGAGAGUCAUAGAAGACCGGAGAAAAUACUUUACAAAAACAUUGACAACGGAAAACAAGACGCGAUUCAUGGCGAG